AUGCACGCUGGCGGCGUGCCUCAUCCAUGCAAGUCGAGCGAACAGACGAGGAGCUUGCUCCUCUGACGUUAGCGGCGGACGGGUGAGUAACACGUGGAUAACCUACCUAUAAGACUGGGAUAACUUCGGGAAACCGGAGCUAAUACCGGAUAAUAUAUUGAACCGCAUGGUUCAAUAGUGAAAGACGGUUUUGCUGUCACUUAUAGAUGGAUCCGCGCCGCAUUAGCUAGCUGGUAAGGUAACGGCUUACCAAGGCAACGAUGCGUAGCCGACCUGAGAGGGUGAUCGGCCACACUGGAACUGAGACACGGUCCAGACUCCUACGGGAGGCAGCAGUAGGGAAUCUUCCGCAAUGGGCGAAAGCCUGACGGAGCAACGCCGCGUGAGUGAUGAAGGUCUUCGGAUCGUAAAACUCUGUUAUUAGGGAAGAACAAAUGUGUAAGUAACUAUGCACGUCUUGACGGUACCUAAUCAGAAAGCCACGGCUAACUACGUG
rnacentral:rRNA from 1 species